rnacentral:rRNA from 1 species
UACGAAGGGGGCUAGCGUUGCUCGGAAUCACUGGGCGUAAAGCGCACGUAGGCGGCUUUCUAAGUCAGAGGUGAAAUCCCGGGGCUCAACCCCGGAACUGCCUUUGAUACUGGAGAGCUUGAGUUCGGGAGAGGUGAGUGGAACUGCGAGUGUAGAGGUGAAAUUCGUAGAUAUUCGCAAGAACACCAGUGGCGAAGGCGGCUCACUGGCCCGAUACUGACGCUGAGGUGCGAAAGCGUGGGGAGCAAAC